rnacentral:lncRNA from 1 species
CUCAUAUUUGAGCAAGGAGAAAUAGGAAGUGUCCCUUUUCCCCUUUCCUCCUCCAGUGGGGCCAUGUGAGCUACCAGCAAGAGAGGGUGCCAGCGAAAGGCAUCCUCUAAAAAGCCAGAACCUGGAAGCAACCUAGAUACCCCUCAACUGAAGAAUGGAUUGAGAAAAUGUGCUACAUCUAUACAAUGGAGUACUACUCAGCAGAAAAAAGCAACGGAAUCUUGAAAUUCACAGGCAAAUGGAUGGAACUAGAGGAAACCAUCCUGAGUGAGAGCCCUCACCCAGUGGCUGAUGGAAGCAGAGACAGACAUCCAC